GACGAACGCUGGCGGCGUGCCUAAUACAUGCAAGUCGAACGCUGAAGGAGGAGCUUGCUUCUCUGGAUGAGUUGCGAACGGGUGAGUAACGCGUAGGUAACCUGCCUGGUAGCGGGGGAUAACUAUUGGAAACGAUAGCUAAUACCGCAUAAUAUUGACUAUUGCAUGAUAGUCAGUUGAAAGGUGCAACUGCACCACUACCAGAUGGACCUGCGUUGUAUUAGCUAGUUGGUGGGGUAACGGCUCACCAAGGCGACGAUACAUAGCCGACCUGAGAGGGGGGUCGGCCGGACUGGGACUGUGACACGGCCCAGAGUCCUACGGGAGGCAGCAGUAGGGAAUCGUCGGCAAUGGGCGGAAGUCUGACCGAGCAACGCCGCGGGAGUGAAGAAGGUUGUCGGAUCGGAAAGCUCGGUUGUAAGAGAAGAACGAGUGUGAGAGUGGAAAGCUCACACUGUGACGGUAGCUUACCAGAAAGGGACGGCUAACUACGUG
rnacentral:rRNA from 1 species